rnacentral:rRNA from 1 species
AAGGAAUAUUGGACAAUGGGCGCAGGCCUGAUCCAGCCAUCCCGCGUGCAGGAUGACGGCCCUAUGGGUUGUAAACCGCUUUCAGCAGGGAAGAAACUGACGGUACCUGCAGAAGAAGGUGCGGCCAACUACGUGCCAGCAGCCGCGGUGACACGUAGGCACCAAGCGUUGUCCGGAUUUAUUGGGCGUAAAGAGCUCGUAGGCGGUUCAGUAAGUCGGGUGUGAAAACUCUGGGCUCAACCCAGAGACGCCACCCGAUACUGCUGUGACUUGAGUACGGUAGGGGAGCGGGGAAUUCCUGGUGUAGCGGUGAAAUGCGCAGAUAUCAGGAGGAACACCAGUGGCGAAGGCGCCGCUCUGGGCCGAAACUGACGCUGAGGAGCGAAAGCGUGGGGAGCAA